AGGGUGCGAGCGUUGUCCGGAAUUACUGGGCGUAAAGAGCUCGUAGGUGGUUUGUCGCGUCGUUUGUGUAAGCCCGCAGCUUAACUGCGGGACUGCAGGCGAUACGGGCAUAACUUGAGUGCUGUAGGGGAGACUGGAAUUCCUGGUGUAGCGGUGGAAUGCGCAGAUAUCAGGAGGAACACCGAUGGCGAAGGCAGGUCUCUGGGCAGUAACUGACGCUGAGGAGCGAAAGCAUGGGUAGCGAACAGGAUUAGAUACCCUGGUAGUCCAUGCCGUAAACGGUGGGCGCUAGGUGUGAGUCCCUUCCACGGGGUUCGUGCCGUAGCUAACGCAUUAAGCGCCCCGCCUGGGGAGUACGGCCGCAAGGCUAAAACUCAAAGGAAUUGACGGGGGCCCGCACAAGCGGCGGAGCAUGUGGAUUAAUUCGAUGC
rnacentral:rRNA from 1 species